rnacentral:rRNA from 1 species
AUGGAGGACUCCCAUCCGCAGCCGGCACCGGUGCUGACUGCUGAGUGUGUUCUGAGAGCUGAACCCAACGAGAUGCUGUCCAGGAACACCCCCAAGUUCAAGGUGGAGCGCAAGGAGGAGGGCCACGGCGACACCCUGGUAGAUAUCUACUGCACCGUCAAGCCGGGGUUGCUGCUGUCGACGGUGAGCACAUUCAAUUUGCCUGCUUUCUUGGCCCUCUCUUUACGGAUGCAUAAUUCUUUCUUCUGGUCUAGCUCCUCACCACGUCGCCCGGCUGGCGGUCAUACUUUGUUCGUGCCGGCUGGUUGUUGCUCUGUGAUUGGUUUGUCAUCUGCUGAUUCCUCUUCUUGUAUGAGCAAUUUCCUUAAUUUCAAUUCUGAUUGGUCUAGCUUUUGUCUGUGUGUGCUUGCCGUCACUUUCUGCUGUUCGGCCGCUGUUGCCAUUCGUGUCGUCGUGAUGUGUUUCUCGAUCGAGCUGUCGCUUUCUCAUGCGGUGCUGCCGGUCUUUGUCAGCGACCAGUGCUGCUUUACGUCCAUCGGUUACUCUGUCUAUGUUGUUCUAGCGGUGCCGCUGUCGAUGUUCCUUCGCGAUGUUGCCAUUUCCGCUGAUCGGUGCGAUCUUUCUGGUGUUUCCCGGAGAUUUUUCCAUUCCUUUCUGUGCUUUCCUCUCUCUUUUCGGAGGCUAUAA